UACGAAGGUCCCAAGCGUUGUUCGGAAUCACUGGGCGUAAAGGGAGCGUAGGCGGCGUGGUAAGUCAGAUGUGAAAUCCCGGGGCUCAACCCCCGGAACUGCAUCCGAUACUGCCAUGCUAGAGGAUUGGAGAGGUAGCUGGAAUUCUUGGUGUAGCAGUGAAAUGCGUAGAGAUCAAGAGGAACACUCGUGGCGAAAGCGAGCUACUGGACAAUUCCUGACGCUGAGGCUCGAAGGCUAGGGUAGCGAAAGGG
rnacentral:rRNA from 1 species